CUGACUGCGGAACACUGAGGGGUUCCACAUAGCCGCCCUGGCAACCAUCACAGAGGACGCCCCGGUGGCCUUCCGGAACUCCUCGAUGUCAGCGUGGGCUUUGACCCGGUCCAGAGAACCUCCGCUACACAAAAUACAGACUCAAGAGGACACUCACCGAUGAAGUCAUAGAUACACUUUGGUUUGGCUUUCCAGUGCACCCCCAGGAAGUAGACUGGUACACCAGUGAGCAUGAUGACCAGCCCAACACCACAGACUACAGGCUCAGAGUACAGGCUGAAGCCCAGUAACAGGGCCCAGAACAUCAGAAGAUGUGAAGAGGUAGCCGUUGAUGCCUCCAAACGUAGACAAGGCUACAGAGAUGGGCAUAAUGACAGAGAACAUCCCCAGCAGCUUCUCUCCAAAUGUCUGCAGCAGAACAAGAAGGUUUACAUUUAAGACACAAUUCAAGCCAGGG